GUUCGGAUAGCUUAUACUAAAGCAUUGUUCUUGUAAACCAAAGACGGGCCCAGCCCUCCGAACA
rnacentral:tRNA from 1 species